rnacentral:rRNA from 1 species
UAGCAGGGGGGCAAGCGUUGUUCGGAAUUACUGGGCGUAAAGGGCUCGUAGGCGGCCAACUAAGUCACACGUGAAAUCCCCAGGCUUAACCUGGGAACUGCGUGUGAUACUGGAUGGCUUGAAUUCGGGAGAGGGAUGCAGAAUUCCUGGUGUAGCGGUGAAAUGCGUAGAGAUCGGGUGGAACACCAGCGGCGAAGGCGGCAUCCUGGCCCUGUACUGACGCUGAGGCGCGAUAGCGUGGGGAGCAAACGGG